CUGGGUUUUUUUUGGGCUACCCGCCCAUCACCCGCCCUCUGUCAUUUUAUACGAAUUGCUUCGGCCGACGGUUCCGCUAGCGCUUGGCGCAAGCCAGUGCGAACUGGGCCGCGGUCGGUCUACCAAACCUCCAAUGCAUGCGUGUCGUCUGAAGAAAAAAGAAAAACGAAACCA
rnacentral:misc_RNA from 1 species